rnacentral:rRNA from 1 species
CUGCGGCAGGCCUAACACAUGCAAGUCAACGGUAACAGGAAGCAGCUGCUGCUUGCUGACGAGUGGCGGACGGGUGAGUAAUGUCUGGGAAACUGCCUGAUGGAGGGGGAUAACUACUGGAAACGGUAGCUAAUACCGCAUAACGUCGCAAGACCAAAGAGGGGGACCUUCGGGCCUCUUGCCAUCAGAUGUGCCCAGAUGGGAUUAGCUUGUUGGUGGGGUAACGGCUCACCAAGGCGACGAUCCCUAGCUGGUCUGAGAGGAUGACCAGCCACACUGGAACUGAGACACGGUCCAGACUCCUACGGGAGGCAGCAGUGGGGAAUAUUGCACAAUGGGCGCAAGCCUGAUGCAGCCAUGCCGCGUGUAUGAAGAAGGCCUUCGGGUUGUAAAGUACUUUCAGCGGGGAGGAAGGUGUUGUGGUUAAUAACCACAGCAAUUGACGUUACCCGCAGAAGAAGCACCGGCUAACUCCGUGCCAGCCGCCGC